rnacentral:rRNA from 1 species
UCGGAUUGUAGUCUGCAACCCGACUACAUGAAGCUGGAAUCGCUAGUAAUCGCGGAUCAGAAUGCCGCGGUGAAUACGUUCCCGGGUCUUGUACACACCGCCCGUCACACCAUGGGAGUCGGAAAUGCCCGAAGUCAGUGACCUAACCGAAAGGAAGGAGCUGCCGAAGGUGGAGCCGGUAACUGGGGUGAAGUCGUAACAAGGUACC